rnacentral:rRNA from 1 species
UACGUAGGGUGCAAGCGUUAUCCGGAAUUAUUGGGCGUAAAGCGUUCGCAGGCGGUUCGGUAAGUUUGUGGUUAAAUCUGGCCGCUCAACGGUCAACAUGCCAUAAAGACUGCCAGACUGGAGGAUGACAGAGGCAACUGGAAUUCUGCGUGUAGGGGUAAAAUCCGUUGAUACGCAGAGGAACACCAAAAGCGAAGGCAGGUUGCUGGGUCAUUUCUGACGCUGUUGAACGAAAGCGUGGGGAG